GGACACUGAAUACCUCUCUAGACCAAUCUCCUUCAUCUUCUGAGCUAGUAAGCUGUCUUCAAUGUCCCCUUUGUAAUUUGAAACCAGAUUUAUCUCUCCUUCGAUGUCCAAUGUGGGAAGGUAUUUUGGUGAAAUUUCAGAUAUAAACUUUUCUUUUGCUAUGCACUCUCCAAUGCUAAAGGGUCUUUCCAUUAUCCUACCUUGCCUUUGUCCAUUGACAUAAGCUAUACAUUACAACAAAGAAUUUUGUCAUAUUGGUAUACUUGUAAAUCAUACACAGCACAUGCAUUAGAUUUUUAAGCUCUUUCUUGUAUUUUUACCUGUUGAAACAUGAAGAAAUAGCCUAAGGUUCUUGCACUUUUUGGCAAUGUUCAUGAGACGGCAUGGCCCUAAGGUGUUUAUGUUGAUAGCAGUGUCAUAUCUGAUCACAUCACAAUAGUCAAAUGAUUAGACAAAGAACUCAUUAUUGGUGCAGAAGCUUUUGGAGAGUUAUAGAGACCAACCUUUCAUCAAAUGUUGUAUUAGCUGCAGAAUUUACAAUGACAUCUACCUCCUCUUCAAUAACAUUCGAUAUAUCUUCAUCUAGUCCAAGAUUGUGUUCACAAAUAUUGCCCACAACAGGA
rnacentral:lncRNA from 1 species